rnacentral:lncRNA from 1 species
GUCUGGACCUUGAAGGCUCCAGCUUCCAGCCUCCAUCUGCUAACCUAGGCCUAAAGUGUUUCAGCCUCCAUGACUUACUGCUGAAUAAACUCACUCUUUCUAGCUCUUUCUGAACUCUUGCUGGCUGGUCCAACUCAGCUGUUCUGGUUUAAACUCCGCUCCAAUCUAACUGAUUCAAAUUGGCUCCUCUUGGCUUCUGACUGAAUUGUACUGCUCUGAAAUACUGCCUGUGAACUCCACACACUGAAGGACUGUGAACUCAACUGCUCUGCUCUGAACUGACCUCAACUGCACUCAAAUGAAGUAACUCCACUGUACAGAACUGAACUGAACUGAAUUAAACCAAACUGAACUGAACUCUACUCUCUCCCUGUGCAGCUCUUAAGUAACCUCUCUUUCCUGUCUGUUCUCAUGGGCAUAUCCUACCUCUGACACAUUCUGUCAAAUCUUUCUCUGAUUUUUCAUUUUGUCUCAAUUAGAGGUUAUUGUUUAGAAUUAAUGGUGUGUACUAAAGAUGUGUCUGUAGUCCAGCCAGAGGGAUAACCAGUGUGUGACAUGUCUGUAUUCCAGUCAGAUCAUAUUUUUGGAUGUGAUUCCUUACUAGAGCAGCUAUGGUGCUAGAUUAAAAAUUCUCUACAAUUGUCCAUGUGCCAUGAGGGGUUAAGGUUCAAGUUCACCUUGUACUGUGCCCUGCUGAUCUUAGUAGGUCAAAACAGAGAAUGAAGUUAAUGCCUGAGUAAAUCCAAAAACACUCAAGGACAGGUUUUUAAAAUAUACUAUAGAGAGAAGAUACCAACUUUUAGUAUUAAGUGCAUCACAAAGAGAGAAUUUUAAAAUCUGAAAACUUGAGUGAAGAAUGGUGAUGCACACUCCCAGCACUCAGGAAGCAGAGGCGGGCAGAUCUCUGUGAGUUCAAGGCUACCUGGUCUACUGAGACUGUACUGGGACGCCCAGGACUACCAAGAGAAGCUCUGUCUGGGGGUGAGUGAGGAGCUGAAAAGUUCCUUCCAAGAUGAACUCAAGGAUGAAAGUUAAGAUCAAAUCAUUUAAUUAGAUUUUUUUUCCAAGAGAGAACUGCCUUCAAAUGCUUUGGGUAAGAUGCUUUAUUGAAGACAAGACAAAUAUCAUGAAGUGAUGAAAAUUCACUUUCUCCAAAUGAAGAGCUAAAAGUCAAAAGUGAGUGAAACAAGAAGAAAAACCUUCUGCAUGUCACAGACACUGCAGUGGGAAUGACCAAAGAAGGAUUUUUAAAAAAAAUUAAUGCUAUAAUUAAACCUGAGACCCAUAAGUUUUUAAACAAAAUGACAGAGCCUAGAAAUGACAGUCCACCUCUAAAUUGAAGGGCUGGAUUUGUGUCUGUCUACGUCAAGAACGCAAAUAGUUAUGGACACAAGAUUAUGGACAUAUCAAAAAUUAUGAACAGUAGGCAGCACAUUCCCAGAACUGGACUUUGUGAGUAUUCUGAAAUGGCUGAUCCAAGAUGAAACACGCUAGGACAAGGAACAAUUAAUUACCCAUGGCUUAAGAGAAGCACAUAUUACCUUGAGCUGAAUAUAGUUAAAAAUCACAAUUGAAAUAUUUCUCAUUCAUCAGCUUUCCUGAUUAUGUAUACAACAUCAAUACUCAAACUGUUGAAUAGCCUGUGGAAAAGGUCACUAAUAAAAAUGAAGUCGCACUAGAGCAAUGGUUCUCAGGCUUUCUAACACUCUGACCCUUUGAUACAGCCCCCUCGUGUAACCUCCAAACAUAAAAUUACUUCUGUUGUUACUGUUAUGAAUUGUAGUAUAAAUAUCUGUGUUACCCAAUGGUCUUUGGCAAGCUCUGGGAAGGGCCAUUUAACCUCCACAAAGGGGUUGCUACCAAUGGCCUGAGAACUACCGCACCAGAGGAUGAAGAAGAGAAAGCAGCAAUUAAAAAGCUGAAAACGAUUAACUAGGUAGGAUUACUUACAAUUGCGUAUUAAUUACUCUUCUUAUUUCUUCAAUCAAGCACCUGGCAAAAGCUGCUUAAGACGGGAGGGUUUAUUUUCACUCCGGGUAAUAGGGAAUGGUUUACCAUGGAGGGUGGGACAGACAUACAGAAGCAGAAGCAUGAAGCAGAUGGUCACAUUCUGUCCCUAGCCUGCGGAAUGGUACCAGCCAUGUUCAAGGUGGCUCUUUUUAGUUAAGCCAUUCUGGAAACAAUAUAAAACACACCCCAAGGUAUGUUUUCCUAGUGAUUCUAAAAUCCUAUCAAACUGACAGUAAGUUAAGGAUUUGGGACUUAUGAAUUGUUGGGGUCUAGGAGUUGCCUCACGAACCACACAAACAUCAAUUUCAGUCAGACAGGAAUAGUUUAUUGAGCAUGCACAUCAGGACUGAUUGAUCAGGGCUGCAGAACAGAUUCAGGAGCUGAUUGCAACAAUGAGCCAGAAUCCUACAGAGCUUUUAAGCCUCAGAUCAACAAAGAUAUGUGCCAAGUUAUUCCACCAAUCAGGAUUUAGGGAUAGAGGACUUUGUCCUCUCAGAAGCACGUCUUUGGUAAGCACUUAUCUUGUUCCCAUUGUUGGGGAUAUUCAACUGUGGCUGGGGGUUUACCUUGCCUAACAUUCAUGUCUUAACUUGCCAACCAGGAUGUCAGUUACCUACGUACAAGACGCUGCCAAGUAGGAUGUCAAUUCCCAGGGACGUCUUGGAAACUUAAAAUUUUACCCAACCUCUGCUCAAAAUGGAAAUCUUAUUACAAAUGGCUUCUUAUAUUGAUACAGGUGUUUCUCAUGUGUUGAGGGGUCCCAUGGGCAGCUUAUAAAGAUAAAACCUAUAAAAUUUCAUACUGUACUGCUGGACAGUUGGUUCAGAUACAAACUUAUUGUGGCUAACUAUUGAAAGCAGUUGUGGUUGUUUUUUUUUUUUAAGAUUUAUUUAUUUCAUGGGUACUCUGUAGCUGUCUUUAGGCACAUUAAACAAGAGCAUCAGAUCACAUUACAAAUGGUUGUGAUCCACCAUGUGGUUGCUGGGAAUUGAACUCAGGACCUAUGGGAUAACUCCAUGCUCUU